rnacentral:tRNA from 1 species
CUGGGUGUAGUGGAGUGGUACCACACCGGUUUUGGGUACCGGUAACGAGAGUUCGAAUCUUUCCAUCCAGAC